UACAGGGGGUGCAAACGUUGCUCGGAAUUAUUGGGCGUAAAGCGCGCGUAGGGCGCUACUUAAGUCGGAUGUGAAAGCCCUUGGCUCAACUGAGGAAGUGCACCCGAAACUGAGUGGCUUGAGUACUAAAGAGGGUCGCGGAAUUCCCGGUGUAGAGGUGAAAUUCGUAGAUAUCGGGAGGAACACCGGUGGCGAAGGCGGCGACCUGGGUAGAUACUGACGCUGAGGCGCGAAAGCGUGGGGAGCAAACAGGAUUAGAAACCC
rnacentral:rRNA from 1 species